AAUGAACGCUGGCGGCGUGCUUUACACAUGCAAGUCGAGCGAGGCGGGUAGCAAUACCCAGUCGAGCGGCGAACGGGUGAGUAACGCGUGGAUAACCUGCCCAGAGGUGGGGGAUAACCCGGGGAAACUCGGGCUAAUACCGCAUAUGACCGUGAGGUCAAAGGGGGCUCGCAAGAGCUCUCGCCAUUGGAGGGGUCCGCGUACGAUUAGCUAGUUGGUAGGGUAAUGGCCUACCAAGGCGACGAUCGUUAGCCGGCCUGAGAGGGUGAUCGGCCACACUGGAACUGAGACACGGUCCAGACUCCUACGGGAGGCAGCAGUGGGGAAUUUUGCGCAAUGGGCUAACGCCUGACGCAGCAACGCCGCGUGGAGGAUGAAGGUCUUUGGAUUGUAAACUCCUGUCAGCAGGGAAAAAGCGACCUGACCUCAUACGUCAGGGAGUUGAUUGUACCUGCAGAGGAAGCCCCGGCUAACUCUGUGCC
rnacentral:rRNA from 1 species